rnacentral:rRNA from 1 species
UAUACAAAGGUAUUGAAAUAAGAUUUUAAAUGAGUGCUAASRRRAUGAUUGAACAAUUAUAGGCUUUCUUUAGUUAAAUAAUUAAAUUUAAUUUUUUUAGUGCAAAAGCAAAAAUUAAAUUUAGGGACAAGAAGACCCUAUGAAUUUUAAUUUAAUUUAUAAUUUGAAAUUUUAAAUUAAAUUUGAUUGGGGCGAUGGAAAAAGAAUGAGUAUCUUUUUUAGUUWUAAAAAUUGGUUCCGYUUWWAACGAUUAAAUGAGAAAAAUACUCUAGGG